AUCGACGGCGUGGUUUGGCACCUCGAUGUCGGCUCGUCGCAUCCUGGGGCUGGAGCAGGUCCCAAGGGUCGGGCUGUUCGCCCGUUAAAGCGGCACGCGAGCUGGGUUUAGAACGUCGUGAGACAGUUCGGUCCCUAUCCGCCGCAGGCGCAGGAGACUUGAGGGGAGCUGUCCCUAGUACGAGAGGACCGGGAUGGACGUACCUCUGGUGUGCCAGUUGUUCUGCCAAGAGCACGGCUGGUUAGCUACGUACGGACGGGAUAAGCGCUGAAGGCAUCUAAGUGCGAAGCCCACCCCAAGAUGAGGUCUCCCACGGGUAUUACCCGGUAAGGCCCCUGGCAGAACACCAGGUUGAUAGGCCGGAAGUGUAAGCGCAGCAAUGUGUUCAGCUGACCGGUACUAAUAGGCCGAGGGCUUGGACA
rnacentral:rRNA from 1 species